CUCGUAGGCGGUUUGUCGCGUCGGGAGUGAAAACACUGGGCUUAACUCAGUGCUUGCUUCCGAUACGGGCAGACUAGAGGUAUUCAGGGGAGAACGGAAUUCCUGGUGUAGCGGUGAAAUGCGCAGAUAUCAGGAGGAACACCGGUGGCGAAGGCGGUUCUCUGGGAAUGUCCUGACGCUGAGGAGCGAAAGUGUGGGGAGCGAACA
rnacentral:rRNA from 1 species